AAUAUUCGUUCCCUUAAGGUUUACGUUCACUCACCCAUUGCAGGUGCGUAGAUGUUCAGAUAGAGGCAGUCCUCGCUCUGGUUACGCAGAUGAGGCA